GCAUUAGUUGUUCAGUGGUAGAAGUCUUACCUUUUAUCUGUGAGACCUGGGUUUGAUUCCCAGCCAUUGUA
rnacentral:tRNA from 1 species